ensembl:lncRNA
UGCAGUUUUGUCAGAAAUAAGUUCCUGUUUCUUUACAACUCACAUGUAUGAAAAACCCACCUUCAUUCUGACUGACUGUGUCGGUGACCAUACAAGAAAAUCUGUGCCAAAUUAACAUAAUCAGAGUGAUUAGAGCAGUCUGAAGCCUGAGUUUUUGGUUAACAGGGAUGACUGACUUUAUUAUAUGAAACUUUGGUCAUGAUUAAUAUUAACGUCCACAAUUAGAAUGGGAUAUGUAUGACAGAAAGGUUAGAAGUUCAGGUUAGAAGUGUGUCACUGACAGCUUUCGUGUGUUUGCAGGACUUCAUCUGUCCACAGGUGAGGGAUCGUCAGUUACUCCACUACUUCCACAAGAAAGCCUCAGGACAGAGAUUUGACAUUAAAAAGUACAAUGAGCUCAGAGACGAGCUAGCAAGGUGGACGCUGAUCUGAGGAAGCUGAGGAACGCUAUCAAGCUGCAGCUGCCAGUGGAUCAGAUCCAGCCUCAAAGAGCCAGUGUUUAACAGUUAACAUUUCUAACUGGAAACUGGAAUUUCUGGGUGGUGACUGCUCCAGUUUUUCUUUUUUUUCUUUGUUUUUCUAGAUUGUAUGCUAUAGUCACACUGGGGAAAACACUGGCACAAUUAAAAAUGUUGUGACUACGUGCAAUGAUUUUGCAAACUUGUUGCUCGUUGAAGACAGGUACCAGGUCUGUGACCACUCACAGUCAGCUGCCAUCUUGAAAGCUACUUCAAAACAACAAAAUAUAAGAAAACAAACAAACAAACAAAAAAAAAUAGAGUCAGCAUGGUUUCUCCAUCAGUUUACACUUGUAUGGGAUCAAGUGGGCAAUUCCAUUCCAUCUUUGAUAAAACAUCAAGCAACUAUGGUAAACUGAUGACAAUCGCAAAUCUGUUGUCGUCUGUAAAAAUAGAAAUUCACAUCAGGUACUUGCAUUCAGAGUCCAGGCAGAACCUCAUAAAUCUGAAAGAGAGAUUUGGAAAUCCUCCACAAAUAGUAACAUAGUUGUUGCAGGAUCGCGAUUUAACUGCCAAAUGACACAAUCACUCAGCAACCUUGCUUAAAUAUAGGAAUAUAACCAGAACACAAACACAUGAGUCAAGUGGCCUGUUGCAAUGAGAUACAACACAGACAACUGAAGAAGAUGCAGUGAGUCUAAGUCAGACUGCAACUGGUUGGAGACCAGUUGCCUCUCACCAGGCACUUGCCUCUCACUUUGCCAUGAACACCUGCAGCCUCAUGGGUUAACAGCUGGUCACUGCAAUGAUUUGCAAUUUGUUAUCUAAUGUAAAAGUUUUCAAUAAAAUCACUGGGGACCCAACAUUGUUUCUAAUUCUCAAAGAGAUUGCCAGCCUGCGCUCUAGGGUGACAUUAGGCAACCAGAUGGAUUUCUGUUUCACUACAGCACUUUUACACUAAAGUUUUAUUUCACUUGAAACAUGUAAAUGAAUAAACAAAUUAAAUAAUUUCAAACUGACUCAACUCAACUGCUUCGUCUAGCUUUGUCUUGGUUGUGUUUUUGACUUUCAGGGCGCAGUCCUGAAGCUUUUCUGUAGCUGCUGAUUCUUUAAUGUCUGUUUUGCUAGUAAGGAC